rnacentral:rRNA from 1 species
UACGUAGGGUGCAAGCGUUGUCCGGAAUUAUUGGGCGUAAAGGGCUCGUAGGCGGUCCGUCACGUCGGGAGUGAAACUUGGGCUUAACCCCAAGCCUGCUUCCGAUACGGGCGGACUAGAGGUAGGCAGGGAGAACGGAAUUCCGUGGUGUAGCGGUGAAAUGCGCAGAUAUCAGGAGGAACACCGGUGGCGAAGGCGGUUCUCUGGGCCUACCUGACGCUGAGGAGCGAAAGCGUGGGGAGCAAACAGG